rnacentral:lncRNA from 1 species
AGAUUCCAACGAUGAAUGUAACUGUAUUGUCAGGAGCAAUGCUACAUAAUUUUAGGGUAAAAUCAUUUGGUUAGCCUAAUUCCUCUGCCUACAGCCCAGCUAUGGAAUUCUGAGACAUAACUCCAUUUUGGCCUCUGGUCACAACUGAGACCUCAAUGAUCCAGUGACGCUGUGAUUCUCUAGGACAAGAAACAUCAUGGGAGCUGAGAACAUCCUGGGAGGAACAAACAUCUACUCAGUUCCUCAUUGUUCUUGGACUGUUACCAACUUGUUUAUGCAAGGAUGUACUGAACUCUCUGCAAGUCAUUUGUUACAUUUGUUUCUCCUGAUGUACUGAAUAAAAGGUGAGGUAAUUGCGGUAAUCUAGGGUCUUUUGUCUUUGCUGCCCAGAGCAGCACUGAUCAGACCCAAAGCUCAGCUUCUUCUCAGUCUCAUUUUUCUACCUUUUCUGUAAUUCGCCUUAUGUUGCCAUGGCUCGCAGGAGACUAGGAAUUACUGCAGAGGUUCUAGUAACACCCCCUUUCCCUGUUCCCUACAUUUGGCCAUUUGGCACCCAACUUGGAUGUGAAUCGGAUCCAGGGGUGAACUCGCCUGUGAGACAAACUUGGAGUAAGAGAGACAGCACAUGGAUCUCCCAGGAUGAUUUCCGGACUUGGACAAGGGACACUGGUGGUAUAAAAGUGCUUGGAUUCCUUCUGAUUCUAAUCUCAAGAGAUCUCUGUUAAUUGACUACAAAAGUUUUUGACCAGUCUUAUAUGUAAUUAUAAGUCUAAUAAUCAUAAAAAGAUAUUAUAAAUCAAUUUGGCCAAAUAUAUUUGAGUGCACUCUAAUUUUAUAAAUUGUCUCAUAUGUUUGUCUGUUGUCUUCUGUUUGUACAGUUGAGCUCAAAUGUUUUUUUCUUUUCUCUUUUCCUUUUCACCUUUUGAAAAAAUUUUUUUUCUUAAAAGAUAUUCACCUAUUAUUAAAUUGGCUUACAGAUAAAUGUUAUUAAAUUAAAGGCAUGCCCUCCUUCCCCCAGGUUGCUAACUGAUCAAAGUGCCAAGAUUUAUUUUAUAAAAGUAAUGUGUAUUGUCAUCUACAUGGAAUAAUCAAAUUGCAAUAAUCAGUUGUAAAAUAAGAAGAUAUAUAUAUUCUUAUUAUUUGUUUGUCAAAGUAAAUAGAGACUGUGGGUACUCCCUUUGGUGAAUAAAGAAGUGGCCCCCCCAGAAAGUAAUUAUUCUGGUCUUAAUUCACUAAAGUAAUGCCCUAGUAAUUUUCAAAAUCUUGUGGGAGACACAUCACAACAAAUAUUGUCUCAAUAUGUUAUUAUAAAUUGAUUACAUUGGUUAUCAUUGACGUUUAAGCACUAAAUAUGUUAUUAUAAAAUGUUUACAUUGCCUAAGUUCUGAACAUGUUAUUGUAAUAUGUCUACAUUGGUCAUCUUCAAAAGAUUAAUUUCUGUGGCAUAAACAAAAGAGUGUUAUUAGGAAGAUGCUUUUGGUACCAAACUACAUUGAAGAACAUAAUGUUUUAUAUAAUUGUAAUAUUUAUUACCACUCCUUUUCUGGUGUACACAAUAUAUUCAUGCCUUCUAAUUGUAUGGGUCUUUCAACAUAUUGUUUAUGGUAAUAACCUUUUGAUUCAGAUAUUUGCCUUUCUCUUACACUCCAGAUACCUAUGAUAAUAAGCACACUUGUAGGCUGAUAUAUUUUCCUUAGAUGACAUCCUAUAAAAAGAUAGCUACUUAGGGAUUCAACCACAAAAACAAACAUAAUUGGCAAUAAUAACAGUUUUUAAACUAUAUUUUUAUUACAAAAUGCUUAAUAUCCAGAUAAAAUUAUAAUAGUUGAGUUCACUACUCCUCUUACAAUGCUGAUGUUAUUGAUCUUCUCUUCUGGGUGUUCAAUAAUCAAAGUUUAGAGACAAGAACUAAAAAGGUAUCUGGGCUAAGAUGACAGCCAAUAUUUUGGCCCUGACUCUCCAAGGUCAACUACAACAGAAAGAUCCAGGACGUGAGGGAACCUUCUCCAAGAUCCUACAUCUUUGGUGAGUCACCCAACUUCCUGAGCAGGGAGGUUGUUGAACACCAAAACAGUAAAGAUCCAACAAAAAGUGUGCCAAAGGAAUGUCACCUGGAGGAAAAAAAUCUCCCAUGCUUUUGCAGAAAGCAAUAUGGUCAAGCAAGUCCAUGAUAUAUCCUAAUGGCUGACACUGACAGAGGAGCUAAGAGGCUCUAUGCAUAGUUCCAAGACAGUGCCUGUGGAGACUUAAUUGACCUUGUUAGAUAGCAAGAGACUGACUUUAUUUAAUAUAGGUCUCACCGUUACUUGGUCUUGAACAUCCAGUAGAAAAGUAUAACUAUAUAAGACAAUAACUAUUUGAUUUCAACAAAAGUUUUAAGUUUUUUAGCCAACAGUGUUUAAAAAAAACUUUUAGAUUUUUAAUCCUUUUACAGCCCCAAUUAAAAGAAAUUAUGCUUAUUAUAGACAGCUAAGCCACUCAAACACACUAUAGAUCCUCACAAUAUAUAGGGUCAAGGUAUUGUUGGGUGUGCUCACUUUUCCUAAAAACUCCUUCACAUAAAACAAAAAGAAAGGGAGAUAUGUUGGGAGCAAUGCUACAUAAUUCUAGGGA